UACGUAGGGUGCGAGCGUUAAUCGGAAUUAUUGGGCGUAAAGAGCGCGCAGGCGGUUUUACAAGUCAGAUGUGAAAGAGGCCGGCUUAACCGGCAAGGGUCAUUUGAAACUGUGAGACUAGAGUACAGCAGAGGAUAGCGGAAUUCCCGGUGUAGUGGUGAAAUGCGUAGAUAUCAGGAGGAACACCGGUGGCGAAGGCGGCUCUCUGGACGGUGACUGACGCUGAGACGCGAAAGCGUGGGGAGCAAACAGG
rnacentral:rRNA from 1 species